rnacentral:rRNA from 1 species
GGGGGGGGGGGGGGGGGGGGGGGGCGCGGGGGGGGCGGGGGGGAGGGGAGUGCGGGCGUGCUGUGACGGGUGGCGAGUGGCGGGCGGGUGCGGGACACGGAGGACUCUACUGGUUCGGGGGGGAUAACGUCGGGAAACUUUCGCUCAUACCGCAUACGACCUACGUGGGAAAGCAGGGUCUCUACGGACCUUGCGCGAUUGACCGCGGCGAGGUCGGAUUAGUGUGUUGGUGGGGUAAAGGCCCACCCAGGCGACGCCCCGUAGCUGGUAUGAGAGGAUGAUAAGCCACACUGGAACUGAGACACGGUACAGACUCCUACGGGAGGCAGCAGGGGGGAAUAUUGGAGAAGGGGCGCAAGCCUGAUCCAGCCAGACCGAGUGGGUGAAGAAGGCCUUCGGGUUGGAAAGCCCUUUUGUUGGGAAAGAAAAGCAGCAGGUUAAUACCCCGCUGUUCUGACGGUACCCAAAGAAUAAGCACCGGCUAACUUCGUG